rnacentral:rRNA from 1 species
GACGAACGCUGGCGGCGUGCUUAACACAUGCAAGUCGAACGGAAAGGCCCUGCUUUUGUGGGGUGCUCGAGUGGCGAACGGGUGAGUAACACAUGAGUAACCUGCCCUUGACUUUGGGAUAACUUCAGGAAACUGGGGCUAAUACCGGAUAGGAGCUCCUGCUGCAUGGUGGGGGUUGGAAAGUUUCGGCGGUUGGGGAUGGACUCGCGGCUUAUCAGCUUGUUGGUGGGGUAGUGGCUUACCAAGCUUUGACGGGUAGCCGGCCUGAGAGGGUGACCGGCCACAUUGGGACUGAGAUGCGGCCCAGACUCCUACGGGAGGCAGCAGUGGGGAAUAUUGCACAAUGGGCGGAAGCCUGAUGCAGCAACGCCGCGUGCGGGAUGACGGCCUUCGGGUUGUAAACCGCUUUCGCCUGUGACGAAGCGUGAGUGACGGUAAUGGGUAAAGAAGCACCGGCUAACUACGUG